rnacentral:tRNA from 1 species
AAAUAAGAAGCAAUUCCCAUGCAUUUAAUUUCGACUUAAAAGAUAGAGUAAAAUUACACUCCUUAUUUA